AAGGAUCCCUCUUUGUAGUCCGCAGCAGGCCAGACCGCCAGUGUGCACUGCGGGGUCUGUAUGCGUAACCCAAAGCGUGGUACGGCCAUGUAGUGCGCGAGUGAGCGAGGCUGCGUGUCUAGGAAGCUUCGCCUCGUAAGAACUGUGAGACACCCACGUAUUCUCUUAGGUGGAGGACAUCCAAGCGACCGGAGUUACAGAAGAGGAAGGGAGGAGAGCAGGAGAAAGAAGUGUCUGAACUGGCAAAUUCUCCUGGCAGCACCGAGAGCGAGAGCUGCGAGGCAGCGCUGAGGCCUCAGUUGUGGGUUCCUCUGCGGGGACGUUGUGGACUGCAUCUGGCUCAGGUUUGUGUGGGUUGCCUUUGGCCUCAUUCUCCGAGCGGCACGGGCGAAAAGGGACAGCUGGAGCGCUUACGGGCUGUGGACAGGAGCUGCCGGGGCUGAAGCUGGAGAGGCCAGAAAAAAGUAAAGCAUCUGAAGAAUAAAAUAAAGGGGAUCCAGCCGGCAGCAGCCUCCAGAUGCAGACAGGGGACAGCCUGCCUCUCUGGGUGAGGAAGGAUCCCUCUCAGUGUAGUCCUCAGCAGAUCCGAUCACCAACGUGCGCGGCAGGGUCUGUAUGCGUAACCAAAAGCACAGUACGGCCAUGCUCGUGUGAGGCUAUGUAUCUGGGAAGCCUCAUACUGUAAGAGUUGUAAGACAGCAAUCUAUUCUUCUAGGUGGAUGACAGUCAAGUGACUGGAGCUACAGAGGAGGAAAGGAGGGGGAGAGAAAGGGAGACAGAGAAAGACGUGUCCGAACAGUCAAAUUCUCCCAGCACCUCUGACAGCGGGAGCUGCGGUCAGUGAAGAAGGAGAGGGAGGCGGUGCUCCAGGCACCAGAGCAGAGAUUCCCCUGCAGCCUGUGGUGAAGACCAUGGCGAGGCAGGUUGUUCCCCUGCAGCCCAUGGAGGUCCGUGGUGGAGCAGACAUCCACCUGCGGCCCGUGGAGGACCCCACAUCGGAGCAGGUGGAUGUGCCUGAAGAAAGCUGUGACCCCAUGGAGAGCCCAUGCUGGAGCAGGCUCCUGUCAGCAGCUGUGGCCCCGUGGAGAGGAGCCCAUGCUGGAGGAGGUUUGCUGGCAGGACCUGUGGCCCCAUGGGAGGGACCCCACGCUGGAGCAGAAGAGGAGCAUGAGGAGGAAGGAGCAGCAGAGACAACAUGUGAUGAACUGACUGCAACCCCUGCUCCCUGUCCCCCUGCGCUGCUCGGGGGGAGGAGGUGGAGAAGUCAGGAGUGAAGAUGAG